rnacentral:rRNA from 1 species
GACGAACGCUGGCGGCGUGCUUAACACAUGCAAGUCGAACGGAAAGGCCCUGCUCUUGUGGGGUGCUCGAGUGGCGAACGGGUGAGUAAAACGCGAGUAACCUCCCCUUGACUGUGGGAUAACUUCAGGAGACUGGGGCUCAUACCGGAUAGGAGCUCCUGCUGCAUGGUGGGGGUUGGAAAGUUUCGGCGGUUGGGGAUGGUCUCGCGGCUUAUCAGCUUGUUGGUGUGGUAGUGGCUUACCAAGGCUGUGACGGGUAGCCGGCCUGAGAGGGUGACCGGCGACAAUGGGACUGAGAUACGGACCAGUCUCCUACGGGAGGCAGCAGUCGGGAAUAUUGCAGAAUGGGCGGAAGCCUGAUGCAGCAACGCCGCGUGCGGGAUGACGGCCUUCGGGUUGUAAACCGCUUUCGCCGGUGAUGAAGCGGGAGUGACGGUAAUGGGUAAAGAAGCACCGGCUAACUACGUG